rnacentral:rRNA from 1 species
UACGUAGGGUCCGAGCGUUGUCCGGAAUUAUUGGGCGUAAAGGCUCGUAGGCGGCCAACUAAGUCAGACGUGAAAUCCCUCAGCUUAACUGGGGAACUGCGUCUGAUACUGGAUGGCUUGGAUUCGGGAGAGGAAUGCGGAAUUCCAGGUGUAGCGGUGAAAUGCGUAGAUAUCUGGAGGAACACCGGGUGGCGAAGGCGGCAUUCUGGACCGAUAUUGACGCUGAGGAGCGAAAGCCAGGGGGAGCAAAC